rnacentral:tRNA from 1 species
UCCCCGGUGGCUUAGUGGUAAAGAAUCUGCCUGCCAAUGCAGGAGAUGCAGGUUCAAUCCCUGGGUGGGGAA